UACGUAGGCAGCGAGCGUUGUUCGGAGUUACUGGGCGUAAAGAGUGCGUAGGCGGUUUUCUAAGUUUGGUGUGAAAUCUCCCGGCUUAACUGGGAGGGUGCGCCGAAAACUGGAAGGCUUGAGUAUGGGAGAGGUAAGCGGAAUUCCUGGUGUAGCGGUGAAAUGCGUAGAUAUCAGGAGGAACACCUGCGGUGUAGACGGCUUACUGGACCAUAACUGACGCUGGAGGCACGAAAGCGUGGGUAGCAAACAGG
rnacentral:rRNA from 1 species